rnacentral:rRNA from 1 species
GGCGUGCCUAUACAUGCAAGUCGAGCGAAUCGAUGGGAGCUUGCUCCCUGAGAUUAGCGGCGGACGGGUGAGUAACACGUGGGCAACCUGCCUAUAAGACUGGGAUAACUUCGGGAAACCGGAGCUAAUACCGGAUACGUUCUUUUCUCGCAUGAGAGAAGAUGGAAAGACGGUUUACGCUGUCACUUAUAGAUGGGCCCGCGGCGCAUUAGCUAGUUGGUGAGGUAAUGGCUCACCAAGGCGACGAUGCGUAGCCGACCUGAGAGGGUGAUCGGCCACACUGGGACUGAGACACGGCCCAGACUCCUACGGGAGGCAGCAGUAGGGAAUCUUCCGCAAUGGACGAAAGUCUGACGGAGCAACGCCGCGUGAACGAAGAAGGCCUUCGGGUCGUAAAGUUCUGUUGUUAGGGAAGAACAAGUACCAGAGUAACUGCUGGUACCUUGACGGUACCUAACCAGAAAGCCACGGCUAACUACGUGCCAGCAGCCGCGGUAAUACGUAGGUGGCAAGCGUUGUCCGGAAUUAUUGGGCGUAAAGCGCGCGCAGGUGGUUCCUUAAGUCUGAUGUGAAAGCCCACGGCUCAACCGUGGAGGGUCAUUGGAAACUGGGGAACUU